rnacentral:rRNA from 1 species
GAUGAACGCUGGCGGCGUGCCUAAUACAUGCGAGUCGAGCGAACAGACGAGGAGCUUGCUCCUCUGACGUUAGCGGCGGACGGGUGAGUAACACGUGGAUAACCUACCUAUAAGACUGGGAUAACUUCGGGAAACCGGAGCUAAUACCGGAUAACAUGUUGAACCGCAUGGUUCAACAGUGAAAGACGGUCUUGCUGUCACUUAUAGAUGGAUCCGUGCCGCAUUAGCUAGUUGGUAAGGUAACGGCUUACCAAGGCAACGAUGCGUAGCCGACCUGAGAGGGUGAUCGGCCACACUGGAACUGAGACACGGUCCAGACUCCUACGGGAGGCAGCAGUAGGGAAUCUUGCGCAAUGGGCGAAAGCCUGACGGAGCAACGCCGCGUGAGUGAUGAAGGUCUUCGGAUCGUAAAACUCUGUUAUUAGGGAAGAACAAAUGUGUAAGUAACUAUGCACGUCUUGACGGUACCUAAUCAGAAAGCCACGGCUAACUACGUG